CAAAUAUUUUCUGCUUCAGUCAGUGAAACUCUUCAGACCCUGCAGACCCUCACAAAGGGCCUACAACAGCAUAUUAAUGAUCUAAAUCCAUUGGUGAGACUGUAUUGUGUUUUAUAAAGGGGUUAUAUUCAAAUAUUUUCUGCUUCAGUCCUACAGUGAGUGAAACUCUUCAGACCCUGCAGACCCUCACAAAGGGCCUACAACAGCAUAUUAAUGAUCUAAGAGAUGAGCUCAGCUCACAGAGAUGUGCUGCACUGCAACUCAGCCGAGAAAAGGUACAGAGUUACAAACAAAAUACACAUAAUCACAGCAAAACAGCGCUAAUUAGCAUUAGCUGCCUAUGUGUUUCAGGAACAAGAGCUUCAUCUGCAGAAACAGCAGUUGAUGGAUGAAAAGGAAAGAGCACUGGCUGCUCUAAAAGAGAAACUCAUACGGGUGUACAGACAUUUGCACCUACAAUAUGUAUCAUUUAUUAUAAAUUGUUACACAACUAACACUAUGAACAAAAUUCCUUUAUAUGUAUUAAUAUCUUGGUUUAUGUCUCUGUUUUGUUCACUGCUGUGUAUAAACCUAAGGAGCACAUUGAGGAAAUGAGCAGCAUAUCUCGAGCACAGCUGCGCAUGAACCAUGAUGACACAGACGAGCUGUGUGUCCAUCUGCGCAGGCAGCUGCAGGCCAAGGAUGAUGAGCUCAGACAGUUGCAGAACAGCAUGACACAGUGGAAAGACAAAACCACUGCAAGACUUGCACACAAAUUUGAGCUGGAGCUUAAAGCAGAGAUGGAGAGGAGGGUCCCAGAGGCCAGAGCAGAGCAGCAGAAGAGAUUGGAAAGACUGGAGAAUGAAAUGAGACAUCUGACUGGGCAAUGCCAAGACUACAACGAAUACCAGUCGGCCUCCACUGCUCUUCAGGGUGGCACAGACUUCCAAAACUCUCGAGUCACCCAAGACCCGACCUCAUAUAAACUGCUACAGCACCUUCAGAGUCGCAUUCGUCAGCUUCGAGCAGAGAGCCAAAGCCGCUGCCCCAGCCCCAGCCCAGUGAAGUGGGACAGGGAUCCCACAGACCUGGGUGGGUCUUAUUUGGACACGAUUGCUCCAGCCCAGGACAGCUAUAGGACAGAGGAUCACUUACCAGCAAAGACCGUCUCCAGUUAACAUUUACUUUCAACUCUCUUGAAUUUGUCCAUUAAAUUGUUGAUUUUAUAGGAAAACCAUGUACAAGAAAAUAACUUCUUAAUUCCACCUCUGUGGAGCUCGUGAUGAGCAAUGUUCAUGUUCUGGACAGACAGAAAUUAGCACUUCAUUGCAGGUGAAUGUUUCAUUUAGGCCUGUUAAAGACCAAUGGAUGAACUUUGAUCUACACCCACACACACACACACACACACAUAUAUAUAAAUUGUGUUUGAAUUUACUGUGAAAUAAUGAACAGAUCUAGUG
rnacentral:lncRNA from 1 species